rnacentral:rRNA from 1 species
CCUGGCGGCAGCAGUGAGGAAUAUUGGUCAAUGGUCGGGAGACUGAACCAGCCAAGCCGCGUGAGGGAUGAAGGUACAGAGUAUCGUAAACCUCUUUUGUCAGGGAACAAAGGCGGGGACGUGUCCCCGGAUGAGUGUACCUGAAGAAAAAGCAUCGGCUAACUCCGUGCCAGCAGCCGCGGUAAUACGGAGGAUGCGAGCGUUAUCCGGAUUUAUUGGGUUUAAAGGGUGCGCAGGCGGUCUGUUAAGUCAGCGGUCAAAGCCCGGGUCUCAACCCCGGCCCGCCGUUGAAACUGGCAGUCUCGAGUUGGAGAGAAGUAUGCGGAAUGCGCGGUGUAGCGGUGAAAUGCAUAGAUAUCACGCAGAACUCCGAUUGCGAAGGCAGCAUACCGGCGCUCAACUGACGCUCAUGCACGAAAGUGUGGGUAUCGAACAGGAUUAGAUACCCCAGUAGUC